rnacentral:tRNA from 1 species
ACUUAAAUAGCUUAUAUAGAGUACAAUAUUGAAGAUAUUGAGGAAAUAAUUUUAUUUUUAAGUA